rnacentral:rRNA from 1 species
GAUGAACGCUGGCGGCGUGCCUAAUACAUGCAAGUCGAGCGAACAGACGAGGAGCUUGCUCCUCUGACGUUAGCGGCGGACGGGUGAGUAACACGUGGAUAACCUACCUAUAAGACUGGGAUAACUUCGGGAAACCGGAGCUAAUACCGGAUAAUAUAUUGAACCGCAUGGUUCAAUAGUGAAAGACGGUUUUGCUGUCACUUAUAGAUGGAUCCGCGCCGCAUUAGCUAGUUGGUAAGGUAACGGCUUACCAAGGCAACGAUGCGUAGCCGACCUGAGAGGGUGAUCGGCCACACUGGAACUGAGACACGGUCCAGACUCCUACGGGAGGCAGCAGUAGGGAAUCUUCCGCAAUGGGCGAAAGCCUGACGGAGCAACGCCGCGUGAGUGAUGAAGGUCUUCGGAUCGUAAAACUCUGUUAUUAGGGAAGAACAAAUGUGUAAGUAACUAUGCACGUCUUGACGGUACCUAAUCAGAAAGCCACGGCUAACU